rnacentral:rRNA from 1 species
GAUGAACGCUGGCGGCGUGCCUAAUACAUGCAAGUCGAGCGAACAGAUGAGGAGCUUGCUCCUCUGACGUUAGCGGCGGACGGGUGAGUAACACGUGGAUAACCUACCUAUAAGACUGGGAUAACUUCGGGAAACCGGAGCUAAUACCGGAUAAUAUAUUGAACCGCAUGGUUCAAUAGUGAAAGACGGUUUUGCUGUCACUUAUAGAUGGAUCCGCGCCGCAUUAGCUAGUUGGUAAGGUAACGGCUUACCAAGGCAACGAUGCGUAGCCGACCUGAUAGGGUGAUCGGCCACCCUGGAACUGAGACACGGUCCAGACUCCUACGGGAGGCAGCAGUAGGGAAUCUUCCGCAAUGGGCGAAAGCUUGACGGAGCAACGCCGCGUGAGUGAUGAAGGUCUUCGGAUCGUAAAACUCUGUUAUUAGGGAAGAACAAAUGUGUAAGUAACUAUGCACGUCUUGACGGUACCUAAUCAGAAAGCCACGGCUAACUACGUG